GAGGAUAUUUCUAAGCUAACCAUCAGGGACCGAAUAGCUGGACUGUAAAAAUUUCACAGCUGAAUCAUUCUUUUUUCAUUCUUACGUUCUUUUCUUCUGUAAGAUCCAGUGCAGCUCACGAAGCAGAAGCAAGCAGAAUGCAAGGAACCUUCGCCUUAGUUUUGGAGUAUCAGCCCCAGUGAGAAGAGCAAAUAUUCAAAACGGCAAAAGAAGACCAGAAAACUGAAACUGUGCUGAAGGAGGUGGUUAAAUCUCUGGCCUUUUUGAGUGUUCAGCACCCUCAUAUUGCCCUCCCUGCACUGUGCACAGGGUCUCAUCUCCAUCCCUUGCCUGGCAAUUGUGGAGAUGGGGCUGGGUGUCCUUGUGCUCUGUCUCUGUACUCUGAGCUGCCUGGAGCUGCUAGUUGUAGUGGAGGCUGCAGUGCCCCUGGAGGACUUCUACCCAUUUGGCCUGGAUGAAGGGGAUUCCCUAACCAACAAGCAAGAUGAUGGUGGCUCUGGGCUUGUACUAAUCUCUGUGGAAAUGCCCUUCUUUGGUGACAGACACACAGGACUGUAUGUCAACAACAAUGGCCUAGUUUCAUUCCUGAGAGAGGUGUCUCAGUUUACACCUGUUGUCUUCCCCAUCUCUGGAGAUCGAAGAGUGGUUGCCCCCUUUUGGGCAGAUGUGGACAACAGACAUGCAGGGCAGGUCUUCUACAGAGAGACCAAGGACCCAGCCAUUCUUCAGAGAGCCACCAAUGACGUCAGCCAGCAUUUCCCAGAGUUCCCCAGUUUCACUACCUCCUGGGUCUUCAUUGCUACCUGGCAUCAAGUUACCUUCUUUGGAGGCAGUUCCUUAACACCGGUAAACACAUUCCAAGUCAUUCUCAUCACUGACGAAGAGCUGUCCUUCACCAUCUUUCAUUACCAUAAUAUUACAUGGACUACUGGAAUGCAUGCUAGCAGUGGAGGAGACCUUGUAGGCCUUGGUGGAAUUGCAGCACAGGCAGGCUUCAAUGCAGGCGAUGGUCAGCGCUACUUUAAUAUACCAGGCUCUCGUACCAGUGAUGUGGUAGAUGUGGAGAGCACCACUAAUGUGGGCUACCCUGGGCGCUGGGUCUUCCGCAUUGAUGAUGCACUGGUGCGUGUGGGUGGCUGCAACCAUUCAGCAUUUGUGUGCCAGAACCUGAGGCCCUGCAUGAAUGGAGGACGUUGCAUCGAUGACUGCAUCACAGGAAACCCAUCCUUCAGCUGCUCCUGCCUGGCUGGCUUCACCGGAAGGACGUGCCAGAUAGAUGUGGAUGAAUGUGCCUCACACCCCUGUCAAAAUGGUGGCUUGUGCAAAGACCAGACAAAUAGCUACACCUGCGUGUGUGGACCGGGCUACAAGGGUCAGUUGUGUGAAAUAGACAUUGAUGAGUGCUUGGAAAGGCCUUGUCAGAACAAAGCACAGUGUGUCCAAGGCGUGGGCAAUUUCACCUGUCUGUGUGCUGCAGGCUUCACUGGGCCACUGUGUGAGACAGAUGUUAACGAAUGCGAAUCCGAGCCAUGUCUGAAUGGGGGAGAAUGUGUCGACUGGUUGAACAACUAUACUUGUACCUGCCCUGCCUCCUUCACUGGAAUGCACUGUGAAACAGAAAUCGAGAUUCAGGGGAAUUUCUCAUUGGCUGUAACUGAAAGACUAACAGAGGAGUGCCAAUGUCAAAACGGGGGUGUAUGUGUGGAUGUAAGUGGUAGCUGUGACUGCCCAUCCAGGUACACUGGAGUAUACUGCCAGUUUGAGGUCACUCAGACCCCAUGCAGCAGCAGCAGCCCAUGUCCAGAUGGGGGGCCUUGCCUGGAGUAUCAGGGCACCUACCUGUGCACCUGCCAGACUGGAAUGACUGACAUAGAUCACAGGCACUUCUACCCCUUUGUGCAGACGCAAGCAGUCUGCGACUCCUCCCCCUGUCUGAAUGGAGGCUUCUGCUAUGAGCGGGAUGGGGGCUACACAUGUGAAUGCCAACAUGGAUACAGGGGGAGGCAUUGUGAGAAAGCCAGAUUGAGUGUCUGUGCCUCCAGCCCCUGUCGUAACGGCGGCUCCUGCAUAGAGGAGGCGGGACAGUACUACUGUCUGUGUCCCUACAGGUUCACAGGGAAGCAUUGUGAAGUUGGAAAACCGGACCCUUGCUCAUCCAGCCCCUGUCUAAAUGGGGGCACCUGUUUUCACUACAUUGGAAAGUACAAGUGUGAAUGUCCUACUGGCUAUGGUGGAAGGCACUGUGAAGUAAGCAGAGCUGCAGCCCAAACACUGACAAGGCUGGAUUGUGGGCCACCUGCUCAAGUGAAGAAUGCAGAUGUACAGUUCACCUCCAGCACGCCUGGCUCCAUAGCACUGUACACCUGCCACCGUGGAUACAUGCCCCAACCUCAGGCCACACAGAGUAUAUGCGGGAGCCAGGGGGCCUGGAGCCAGCCCCCUGUCUGCAAGGAGAUCAAUGAGUGUCUGUCCCAGCCCUGUCUCAAUGGGGGCACCUGCCAAGACCGGGUGGCAUCCUACCUCUGUUAUUGUGCCAAUGGCUUCAACGGGCUACGCUGCCAGACAGAUGAGAAUGAGUGCCUUUCGAAACCCUGCAAACAUGGAGGCAUCUGUGUUGACCAGCCUGGCUCAUACUACUGCCACUGCCCACAGGGCUUUGCCGGACGGGACUGUGACACAGAACUGACAGGAUGUGAAUCAAACCCUUGUCUGAAUGGAGGGAUGUGCAGAGGCUACAUGGGAAGUCGACUGUGUCUGUGCAAGGAUGGUUUCAUUGGAAAAUUUUGCCAGACUUUGGAGAAUCCCUGUGUACUGCAGCCCUGUGGAAACCGAGGCUUCUGCUACACUGACCAGAAGGGGAACUACACUUGCACCUGCAGGGUGGGUCACACUGGAAAAGACUGUGAAAAAGAUCUGUUGCCACCGUCCGGCCUGCAUGUGCUGAGGGUAGAGGAAUCAGAGGUAGAGCUGCGCUGGGACCUGCCAUACUCCCCAGAGAAGCUCAUCAGUGGCUUUGCUGUGACGUAUGCGCCACUAGGCCGUGGUGCCCGCAAGACAGACUUCCUGGACAGGCAGCAGUCCAGUCACCUGCUACGUGGCCUCAUACCUGGUCACCUCUACAACAUCUCAACCUUCUCUGUCAAGCGCAACAACAACAGCAAUGACAUCAGUCAGCCUGCUGUUGCCUUUAUUCGCACUAGGCCCCGGAAAGUGGAGGAGCUGCAGGUGGUAAAUGUGUCAUCCUCGCAGAUCUGGCUGAGCUGGCGGGUGCAAACAGCCCCCCACUCUGCCGUCAGCCAGGUGCGCGUGUCACUCGUCCCAUCGGAUGGUGGUGGGGCACACAUUGCCCUGCUAAAUGCAAGCAGCACUGAGUACAGCUUCAGUUCCCUUCUCCCAGGCCACAUGUAUACUGUGGAUGUUCAGACGCAAAGUGGGUUGAGGCCAGAAGACCUACCUUCCACAAGCCACUCUGCUGGGCCCCUGCGUAUCUGGACCAGACCUUCACCCCCCCAGAACUUCUCCCUUGCUCAUGUGACUGCCACAUCAGUGCGGUUCAUCUGGGACAGUGACUCCCGUAGCCUCCCAGAUGGCUUUGUGGUGAACGUGACAUGGGGCCUGAAUAUGAGAAGUCGUUAUCUGCCCAGUGGAAAUGUGGGCUCUUACGUCGUGCAUGAUCUGGUCCCUGGGCAGCACUACCGGCUAGCACUGACAGCUGUCUACAACACUGACCAUCAGCAGAUACACAGCCUGCCUCUGACCUUGGCUUUCCAAACCUUACCAUUGGAGCAGGAGCUGAGCGAGAAGGUGAAGCCCACAGAGACUCAGCUGGAGUCGCAGCUGUCUGGGCCCAUACACAGUGCUUUGGAACACGACCUGCAUGGGGCCACUCAUCUGGAGAACCUGUCUAAAUAUACUGAGCUAAUUGAUGGCAGAGGGAAGAUAACAGCCAAGUUCACUAACUUGUCCAAAAAUACCAUCAGGUAUCGUGCAAAACCUGAGCCCGUAAUAGAGAGAAUGGAAGAAACAACCAAUAAAAUCAACUUGGCACUAGAAAUUCCAGAGGACAACACAAAGGGAAAGCCUGUCUGCCAGCGAGUUCCACACCCCUGUACCCGACUUUAUUCAGAGACAAAAAGUAUUCCCAUCUGGGAAGGAGGAGCCUGCCAUUAUUUGUAUUCUACAAGAGAAUCCAUCUAAAAGUUGGAUAAUUGAAUUGGACAUUUUUCAGGUUGGUCCUUCAGUAUGACAAUGGUGAGUCCUUGUUUCCCUUAUCGCUCUGCACCAAAGGUCCUUUAAAUGUAGGGUUUACCUAAUACUACUAAAUUUAACUGAUGUUAACUAAAGCUUAUUGAAUAGUAUUUUUGGAUUUAAACAGUGAACUAUGUACGGCUACAGUUUUUUGCAUAUUCAUAAAGUAUGUGUGGCAUCCAAAUAUAACAAUUAUAUAACACUACUUAAAACUAGGGCACUUAAAAACUGUUUGUACAUUCUGUCUGCAUGUGAGGUUGUGCUGUGUCUGACAGUUGCCCAUAGUAAAUUGGAGACUGAUGUCUCUUAUUAUGCCUUGUUGUUUGGGGACAUGGAUUGUACCUGGGGGGUGGGGGGUGGGAUGUAUUUUUUUCUCUCUCCUGCCAUUUUGAAUAUGAUGGCUAUCUGUUUAAUAUUUAAGUUAACAUGCCAGGUUUAUAUGCCUGUUAUGAUUACAUGGAAUAUCAAAUGGCUAGGCCAUGCAAACAAAUUGAAAAGGGUCCUUACAUUCUAAAAAAAAGAACAAGCUAAUGUAGUGAUGCUGCAAGAUACUCACUUAUCUAAUGUAGAGCAUCAAAAACUGAAGAAAGAUCGGGUUGGCUAGGUCUAUUUUUCAAGCUUUACUACACAAAAAGGGGCACUGUCACAGUUAUCCAUAAAAAUCUCUCCUUUCUACUUACAGACCAACAUAUAUAUGAGAAAGGAAGGAUUGUACUGAUUCAUGGCGUGCUAUAUGGGCAGGAGAUUACAAUCCUGAAUAUUUACGCUCCUAACAAUGAUUCCCCCAGAAGAGUUAUUGCCCUACACCUAACCUAACCUCUGGCAGGACUAGAGUAACUAUGACAGCCUGGCUAAAAGAGAGACCUGGAAGGAAGCACAGACAUGAGGGUUACCAGGGGUUUUGGCAUCCCCUUAUGCCUACAGUAUGUUGAAGCCUAUGCAGGAGAAUGGCAUGGUCUGUAGUAUCAAAAGCAGCACUAAGGUCAAGCAGCAUUAGGAGCGAGGCACAGCCUUGGUCGGCAGACAGAAGAAGGUCAUUUACUACCCUGACUAGAGCUGUCUCUCUGCUAUGAUGAGCUCUAAACCCAAACUGAAAUCUCUCAUUAAUCUGGUUCUCCUGCAGAAAUGAUGUUAGUUAACUAGCUACAACUCGCUCUAUUAUUUUAGAUAGAGGGUAGAUUAGAGAUUGGUCUAUAGUUUGUCAUUUCCAAGGGAUCCAAGUUUGAUUUCUCCUAUAGAGGUUUAAUUACCGCUAGUUUUAGAGAUUUUGGUAGAUAGCCGAUGCUGAUUGAGGAGUUGACUAUUGCUAGUAGCGGUUCAAUCAAUGCUGGAAGCAUAUCUUUGAAUAAUUUUGUUGGAACAGGAUAUAGCAAGAAGUAGAUGAAUUUGAAGAUAAAAUUAAUCAGUUCUGACUGGUUAACCCUGGUAAAUUCUUCAAAUAGGGUGGUUGCAGCAUUAGCAUACGCCGUGUCGAGGCCAGAGAAUGUAGUUAUUGGAAUAUUUAAAAUGUUCUGUCAAAUUGAGCAUAUUUUUUGGUCAAAAAAUUUCAUAAACUCAUCACUGGGAAGGACAUCAAGUGUCCUUGAAACUGCAAUCUCAAAGCAAAUUCUGUUUGCCUGUUGUACUGAAAUUGCACCAAACUGUGAACCCAAAACCCAGGUGUGUACCGCACCGUGACUAUUGUGUACCGUUACAACUCUAGUAAAGAUUGUAUUUUAUAUUAAAGAGUCUUUAAUUGAGCAAUUCUUUAACGUUAUGUUGAGGGUCGUUGUCUCGCACAUGUAGCUGCGGAUUUACGGUCAUCCAACAAUCAAGGUAUCGAGAAAGAUGUUCACAGAUGUUAAUGGUAUCGGCACAAUAUUUUACCGCGGAAAAUAUUGCAGAUGGAUCUACUCAUGUCUAGGUGUCUGUUUACUUUAUAGAAUCCAAAGCUUGCCCAAAAUAAACUGAGACAAUACUGGAAAAGCCUCUGCACACAUUUGCUCAUUUAUGUUAGCACACACUCACAUGUGUCAGCUGUUUAACAAGAUGUGUAACUUGGCAAAUAUGUUAGGAGUGAUAAAUGUAACUAACAUAAUUACAGUAUCCUGCAUUGAUAUUUAAUAAUUGAUUUUUAACUCUCGUGGUAAUCUAAAAAUCACCCCCUCAAAGUAUCAUGAUUUGUAACUAAAUCAAUCUCUCCCCCCACACCCCCCACUUUUCAUUGUGUUUAUAAUUAUCUACAGAUAUAAAAGGACCUACAAAGUUCAGCAGGAUGUUUGUUACAGGGAAAUCUGCGACACAGCACUUUCGAAGAAAGUUCCAAACAGAAGAACUCAGAGGAAGCAGUGAAUGUGUGGGCACAUUUACUUCACUAUUCUCCUGACCCAGAAAAAAGUUGUGAAAACAAAUGACUAAAACAGAGAAUAGUACUAAUAUAAUGUACUCAGGCAGCAUGGUGGCUCCGCAGGUAGUGCUGUUGGAUCUGUGCAGCUUUCCCAGUACGCUCAGGUUAUCUUCCAUAGUCCAAAAAAACGUGUAGCUGAGCUGAUAGGACUUGGGCUGCUAACUGCUAUGUAGCGAAGGCACUGGCUUAUAAUGGGUAUCAUUAUGGAGCGGGUCAUUUAAAUAAACAAUUUGGGCCAUUAGCAAACAGAAACCAAAACGCAAAGUGAAAUUGUAUGAAAUACAAAUCACAGAACCAAACUAAGCCAAAGUAGCAGAUCCUCAGAAACUUCUUAAAGAUUAGACAAGAGAUGCUGACUACAAUAAGCUUAGUUACACUAAUAAGAAAUAUUGGUGAUUAUACAUUAGGAGCAUCUAGAGGUAGACGUGAUUGUGACAAAUGACCUGUCCUGCAGCAAGGAAUUAUUGAAUCUGUUUUAUGAACCGUAUUAUGUGGGGUGGAAAAAUCAUUUGUAUGCAGGCAAAAGUGAGAGCUAGUUGUUUGGUAGAUUAAAAAUAUAUCACACUUCUGAAAACUAAAUUACAGUUAUUUUUUUUAUUUAUAAGGAUUAUCUGAAUAUUAAAAAAUCUCAUUAACUGUGUACAAGUCUUGAAUACUGGAUAUUAUACAAAAUGUGUUGUUGACAUCACAUCUCAGCCAAUGCAAUAAGAAAAGGAUAAGAAAAGGUCUUUAAAAUACAGUGGGAUCCUACAUAUUAUAUGAUCACACAGUCUUAUCAAAGUAGUAUACGUGACCUUGUAAGACUUGCUUCUCACAAAGGACAAAAUGGAUUGCUGGGUCUUAGCGGGAUAUAGAAAUAAAUAAAGUAUUUAUUUAAGUCAGUGUUCCUGUUUCUUCAGGAAACUUACUUUCUUCAGCCUUGUGAAGUUCUUUGACGUCCAGUGCAUUUAUAUUUCUCAGUAUGAGAACUGACCUCCAAUCAGCCCCAUCUGAAGUCCCAAAGGUUCACUACCAGCUGCCUCCUUGAACAUUUUAACUUUCUCCAGCUCCAGUGUCCCAAGUUUCAGGUUUUGCCUCAUACAGUAUUAUAGUUAAAUGAAUGACAAAAGUGUCCCAUAUUUGGAUAUGAGGUCUAAACACAGAGCAAAUGAAAGGCAUUGAAAUCUGGCUGUACAGUAAAGCAGUGGUGUGGAAAAAAUUACAUCCCUUAAAAGUUGAAAGAGUAGCAUGUGUUAAAUAUAUAAUAGUUCCCUCCCCCCAAGAAAUCUGGUAUAUAUUUGCACCACUCCCUCAUCAGCAUCUUAAGAUUUCUCUAUUCUGUGCACGAGCAUACUGUAUGUUCAGUGUUCAACUGCCAUUUGCUUAAAUGAAAACAAAUUGUUAAUUAUUCCUAAACUGAUGUCAAAAGAACAAAAAAAACCUCUUUCUUCCCCAUAAACCAAAUUUCUGUUCAAGCUAUCAUGUAAAUAGUGUUUUUGUAGGUGAUUAUUUUAAUAAAAAAUGAUAAAAUGUA